AUUGAACGCUGGCGGCAGGCCUAACACAUGCAAGUCGAGCGGAGCGGCGGAGGGGGGAGUAAUGCCUAGGAAUCUGCCUGGGCGUGGGGGAUAAGGUCCGGAAACGGGCGCGAAUACUGAAUACUAUCAGAUGAGCCUGGGUCGGAUUAGCUAGUGGGGGGGGUAAAGGCCUACCAAGGCGACGAUCCGUAACUGGUCUGAGAGGAUGAUCAGUCAAACUGGAACUGAGACACGGUCCAGACUCCUACGGGAGGCAGCAGUGGGGAAUAUUGGACAAUGGGCGAAAGCCUGAUCCAGCCAUGCCGCGUGAGUGAUGAAGGUCUUCGGAUCGUAAAACUCUGUUAUUAGGGAAGCGGUACCUAAUCAGAAAGCCACGGCUAACUCCGUGCCAGCAGCCGCGGUAAUUC
rnacentral:rRNA from 1 species